UACGUAGGGUGCGAGCGUUGUCCGGAAUUAUUGGGCGUAAAGAGCUCGUAGGCGGUUUGUCACGUCGUUCGUGAAAACCUGCAGCUUAACUGUGGGCGUGCGGUCGAUACGGGCAUCACUGGAGUUCGGCAGGGGAGACUGGAAUUCCUGGUGUAGCGGUGAAAUGCGCAGAUAUCGCGUGGAACGCCAAAGGUGAAAACAGGUUGCUGGGGUGGUGCCGACGCUGAGACACGAAAGCCAGGGGAGCAAACGGG
rnacentral:rRNA from 1 species